UUUGAUCAUGGCUCAGAUUGAACGCUGGCGGCAGGCCUAACACAUGCAAGUCGAGCGGCAGCGGGAAAGUAGCUUGCUACUUUUGCCGGCGAGCGGCGGACGGGUGAGUAAUGCCUGGGAAAUUGCCCAGUCGAGGGGGAUAACAGUUGGAAACGACUGCUAAUACCGCAUACGCCCUACGGGGGAAAGCAGGGGACCUUCGGGCCUUGCGCGAUUGGAUAUGCCCAGGUGGGAUUAGCUUGUUGGUGAGGUAAUGGCUCACCAAGGCGACGAUCCCUAGCUGGUCUGAGAGGAUGAUCAGCCACACUGGAACUGAGACACGGUCCAGACUCCUACGGGAGGCAGCAGUGGGGAAUAUUGCACAAUGGGGGAAACCCUGAUGCAGCCAUGCCGCGUGUGUGAAGAAGGCCUUCGGGUUGUAAAGCACUUUCAGCGAGGAGGAAAGGUUG
rnacentral:rRNA from 1 species